UGUUCUUACCAUCAAGCUUUAUUUUAAGUCGAUUCACUCCAAUUUUUAAACUAACGAAGCUAAACGUGAUCUGCUGAAUAUAAAUUUGCUAUAUUACGUACUUGUAAGACGGAGACAACAUGUGCGGGUGAUGUUACGGCCUCUUAAAAUUAUAUUUUACUUACCUGACAUGAUAUAAAUUGGAAUUUCUCCUACACAACAUUGUACUGUUACUGAGAAACCUUGUAUAGUCUUGAUCCACGGUAAUCGUUCUUGAUGAUAAAUGUUUGCUAAGUCUUCAAUGUACCUAUUGAAAAAAAUAGAGAAAUAAAUAAAACCAAAUGUAUGCUGUGAAAAUGCCAGCAAACACAGCCCACACAAGGUGCACGUGACAACCAUAUAAUAUAACCCAAAUAAUCCAUUCCAAUAUGUAUUAACACGUUGAGUGCCACAGUAUUUAUGAUGUACAUGAUGUACAUAAUCAUUCUUGAAACUACACGAACUUGAAGAAGUAAAAUCAAAAUUUAAAUCAGAAGACAUUUCAAGUAUUACUUUUCAAUACAGCCAACACUGGCCAAACAGUAUCACAAUUAUUUACAAGUGGCAUUAAAAAACUUGUUUUUACAAACUUAUAUGUGGUACAAACACUAACCACAAUGAUGUUGAAUGUUGAUAUAUAACUUUUGUUUUAUCUAUACAUAAUUAUUGAAGUAUAUUGAUUACAGUAUUGACGUAUCUUUAAAUUUUCGUAUGAUUCACAGGUAUUUUGUUUAACUUACGUUUAGCUGAAAUGCAACAAUAAAAUGACAGAUAAGGAAUAUCAUAGCGAUCAAAUACGCUGGUAAGUAGUUUUUGUGUUCUGCGUCAAUGCUGUACCAAUCCACACACGCGCCGACCAACAGUGUAGAAAUUCCCCAGCCAACCGCUCCCCAGACCCGUUGUCUUCCAUAACUCUUUUUGUCGUCACCUGGGAUGUGUUGAUAUUUUAAGUGAUCGUAUCUUGAAGAACAUCUCCCACCAUCCAAAGCAACAUCCUCGCUGUAAUGGUGGUAAAAAAAAUCCAAAAUUUCCAGUGCGUCAUGAUGUCCAAGUUUUCGGCAUAUCCAUAAUCGGUAAAGUCGGGCGUGAAAUGUAUUAGUGGAGUAAUAAAAGCGUUCAACAGCGAAGCGCCCAAAAAUACUUGUUUACGACAGUGCCAACGAUCGGUAAUAUAUCCAGCUAUUGGUCUUAUAACUAUAUUGAAAAUAGGCAUAAUCGUAAAGAUUACUCCAAUGACGAGCACAGGGAUUCCUCGUUGUCUAGCUAAAGUUGGUAAAAAUGGAUUUAUCGGAGCAAUUCCUGAAAUAAUAGUUUAUAUUUUACUGUUGAAAAAGAAUAAUAAAAUAUUUAAAAACAAUACAAAAUAUACUCAUAAGAAAUUUUCCCGAAGAUAC